UAAAUCACUGGCGCUGGCUUAACAAUGCAAGUCUCACGGUAGCACAUAGGAGCUUGCUCCUUGGGUGACGAGUGGCGGACGGGUGAGUAAUGCUUGGGAAUCUGGCUUAUGGAGGGGGAUAACUACUGGAAACGGUAGCUAAUACCGCGUAAUAUCGGAAGAUUAAAGGGUGGGACCUUCGGGCCACUUGCCAUAAGAUGAGCCCAAGUGGGAUUAGGUAGUUGGUGGGGUAAAGGCCUACCAAGCCGACGAUCUCUAGCUGGUCUGAGAGGAUGGCCAGCCACACUGGAACUGAGACACGGUCCAGACUCCUACGGGAGGCAGCAGUGGGGAAUAUUGCACAAUGGGGGGAACCCUGAUGCAGCCAUGCCGCGUGAAUGAAGAAGGCCUUCGGGUUGUAAAGUUCUUUCGGUGAUGAGGAAGGCAGGUAUUUUAAUAGAAUACUUGAUUGACGUUAGUCACAGAAGAAGCACCGGCUAACUCCGUGCCAGCAGCCGCGGUAAU
rnacentral:rRNA from 1 species